rnacentral:rRNA from 1 species
CGAAGGGGGCUAGCGUUGUUCGGAAUUACUGGGCGUAAAGCGAGUGUAGGUGGUUGUUCAAGUUGGAUGUGAAAGCCUUGAGCUCAACUCAAGAAAUGCAUUCAGGACUGAACGACUAGAGGACCGGAGAGGAUAGUGGAAUUCCCAGUGUAGUGGUGAAAUACGUAGAGAUUGGGAAGAACACCAGUGGCGAAGGCGGCUAUCUGGACGGUUUCUGACACUAAGACUCGAAAGCGUGGGGAGCAAACAGGAUUAGAUACCCUGGUAGUCCACGCCGUAAACGAUGGGUGCUAGACGUUGGCGAGCUUGCUCGUCAGUGUCGCAGCUAACGCGUUAAGCACCCCGCCUGGGGAGUACGGCCGCAAGGUUG